CACGCAGGCGGUCUUUUAAGUUUGACGUGAAAGCUCCCGGCUUAACUGGGAGAGGUCGUUGAAGACUGGAAGACUUGAGGCAAUGAGAGGGGUGUAGAAUUCCCGGUGUAGUGGUGGAAUGCGUAGAUAUCGGGGGGAAUACCAGUGGCGAAAGCGGCACCCUAGCGUUAGCCUGACGCUCAUGUGCGAAAGCGUGGGGAGCGAACGGGAUUAGAUACCCCGGUAGUCCACGCUGUAAACGAUGAACACUAGGUGUAGGUGAUGUGAAAGUUAUCUGUACCGAAGCCAACGCGUUAAGUGUUCCGCCUGGGGAGUACGGCCGCAAGGCUAAA
rnacentral:rRNA from 1 species